rnacentral:lncRNA from 1 species
GCCGGGUGGGCCGAGGGCUCGGGGCCAGGAAGAUGGGUGGAGGGUGAGAUGUCAGGUGGAGGAGGGCUGGGUGACGCUGCCUCCUUCCCAGCAGGAGCCUUCCCAGGGGGAGCUGGUGGCAGAGGAGGACCCGGACCCGCCGGAACUGAAUCUCCAGAUAGAGGAAAGCCGAGAUGCCGGGCCUUUCCUGAAGCGGCUGGCGCGGCCUCGCAGAAGCGCACCCAAAGGCCGGAAAGCAAGGGCUCGCAGAGCGAUCGCAGCUCACUAUGAAGUUCACCCACGACCGGGACAGGACGGAGCGCAGGCCGGUGAGACCCCAUUCCCACCUGCCCCUGCUCUCCCCCCGCCACCCCCGUCCCGUAUUCUAUGAAUCUUCACCACUCUGAUCAUUUUUCUCAAAAUGUUUCUACUAGGCUCUUCUUUUCCACCUUUACCCGACCUCCCAACUCAGCACUAUGACCUCAGAACCUCAAACCCAGUCUCUGGCCCCUUCCCCUCCCAGACUCUCCCCCCCCCCCAACUACUCCAUCCCACCUGCGUUGCCAAGGCCUCUAAGUGAAGUAGAUAGAUUCGGUAUGUGGCUUGAAGCUAGCGGCUUGCUUAUGAGUCGGCUGUGCGGGGGAAGGGGAAGGAAGGAAUCACAAAUGACUUCUCGGUUUUGAACUUGGGCAUCUUUGGGAAUCGUGAUGCCAUUUAUUUUUUUUUUAACGUUUAUUUAUUAUUGAGAGAGAGAGAGAGACAGAGCAUGAGCAGGGGAGAGGCAGAAAGAGAGGGAGACACAGAAUCCGAAGCAGGCUCCAGGCUCCGAGCUGUCAGCGCAGGGCCCGACGCGGGGCUCGAACCCAGGAACCGCGAGAUCACGACCUGAGCUGAAGUCGGACGCUUAACCGACUGAGCCACCCAGGCGCCCCUAAUGAUGCCAUUUAUUGAGGCGGCGUUAACCAGGGGAGAAAUGGGUUGGGAGAUACGUAAAUUAAUCGUUAAGUGUUUAAUAAUCAGCCAGCGGCUUCCACAAAUAGCUGGCCGGACAUCGUGGGCCGGCUCAGGCUAGGUCAGGACGCGAAUAGUCAGGCGUCACAGCCACAGACGUGGUAUUGAGAGCUGUAGGAUUGGAUGAAACACCGCGAGGAAGAAGCACCCCCAGAGUGAGUUCCUGAGGCUCUCGGGACAUCCAGAGGGGAGGCCAAAGACAGCCCAGUGGACGCUGAGAAAAGCAGCCGGACAGAAGGGAAGAAACCGGGGAGGGGAGUGUCCUGUGAUCUGGGAGAAGACUCGGUCUCACCCAGGAGGGUGUGGCCAUCUGUGCCCCAUGCAGCUGAGUGGUCACAUGAGAUGACCGCUGGGUUUGGAAACCUUAAAAGUCAGCUGGUGACCUGGACGUGGGCGGUUUCAGUGGCCCCGUUAGGGUGGACGCCAGUGUGGAUUGGGUUAAGAGAAAAUGGGAACUAGGAAUUGGAGACGGUGACAACCCUUUCUAGAAGUUUCUCUGUGACGAGCGGAGCAACAGGCCAGUAGCUGGAGGGAGCUGUGUAUGGAGGAAGGGUGCAGUCCUUCUGGUGAUGAGCGACCCUACAGGGGUCUUAGCCAACGGCUACUGAAUGGAACACUCAUCCAGUCUCUGCAGUAGCCCUAAAAGGAAGCCGUCAGCACGGAGCCCGAUGCGGGGCUCGAGCUCACGAACUGCGAGAUCAUGACCUAAGCCAAAACCGAGAGGUGGGCGCUUAACCGACUGAGCCACCCAGGCGGCCCGGUAGAUAGAGGCCACUUAACCUGUGUGAGGCCUCGAGGAUACCCAGGGGUGGAGCCCGGGUUUGAACCCAGCCAGCGCAGGCUUGUGUCCCAGACGUGCCUGGUGCGGGGGUGGGGGGAGCCUGCAGGGCAGCGUCCAGGAAGGGGGCCGGGGGUGGGUUCCAGAACCGAGAGAGGAACACGUCAUCCCCUGGAGAAUGUGACGACAGGUCAGUUUUUAGUGCUGGUGGGGGGACGUGAGGGAGCCCUUGCGUGAUGACUUCUAGGUCCUCGGGAGAGUGAGGAGGGUGGGCGGGGGGUGAGCAGAGGUGGUACAAAACACUUAUCUUGAGGACUACAAGAGCGAGCUUCGUGGGGAGGAGCAGGAAGGCUGCCAGGCUAUAAAGAAUGUCCAUUUGAGGUUUGUGGUGGGGACAUUGGCGGACAUCGUGGUCCCAGGGACCCCGUGCCCCCUGGCCACAACCAGCCUUCGCCCAGGCUGGUCCCAUAGUGGGGCGCGCCCUCCCUCCUUCUCUCCCCCUCCUCUUCCUCCCCUCCAGAUGGGCCAUUUAUUUUAGCAGCUACCCAGACAUUCAUUCGUCCCCUGACGGAACACACACGCACUGAGCACCUGCUGUUGGUAAGGACCGGGCCGGGCGCCCACGGGCGAUGAUACCCAGACCUGUUCGCGAGAAAAAGUCACUGUCUAGGAGAGGAGACAGGCAUAGGGAUUUGCAAGUUACGGUAGGCUGGGACAGGAACAAGAAUGAAAGUAGCCAGAGGUAGGCGGUGGCAAAGAGGAAGACACCCAACUUUACAGUGGAGUCGGGAUUCCUGUCUCAAAAAGGCGUGGACCCUGAAGCGCGAAUGUAAGAUGGACCAGGGGUCAAGGGCGUGCCAGGUGGAAGGAGCCGCUUGUGCCAAA